CAUCAACAAUCUGUCUUUGUGUCACUUAGGCCCUUCCCAAGUUGCAUGAAAUGGAUGAAUAAUGUAUGAUGUCAUGCCUCAGUGAUUCACAUAGCUAAGCCCAGGGCCAAGAACAGAGACUGUAUUCCUUAGAAGAGAUGAUGUCCUAAAGUGACGAAUACAACUCGUGGUACAAACAGGAAGACAAAAGUUUCUUACGAGAGAAAUAUUUAUUCAACUGACAUUAACUGAGAUGGUCGGAAACUGCCUCUCAUUUUAAACACCUUUGCAGGAAACAGACUGCUUCUUAUUCCACCAAAACCCACACAAAAGGAAAACAGUUGUAGCUUGAGGGCAACUUUGAGAACAAAGACCAAAUAUUGACCCAAUUGAAAUUUGGCAGCUCCAUUUCCCUGAAGGGCCAACUCUGGGUCAUGGAUUAGAUUGGAGCUGUGUUUCACCCGGACUCCCUGAGUUGCUCCGAAAUCAGGAAAAAUCUUUCCUAAUGAAGAAGUACUAAAGCAUUAACCAACCUGCCACAGGAAACACAGAACGAUGCCCCAGAUUCGCAACAUGUU
rnacentral:lncRNA from 1 species